AGCAGCCGCGGUAAUUCCAGCUCCAAUAGCGUAUAUUAAAGUUGCUGCAGUUAAAAAGCUCGUAGUUGAAUUUCGGGACCAUCAUGUCGGUCGUGCCUCGGUACGUACUGGCAUUGUUGGUUUCUACCUUCUGACGAACCAUGAUGUCAUUUAUUUGGUGUCGUGGGAAAUCAGGACUGUUACUUUGAAAAAAUUAGAGUGUUUAAAGCAGGCUCACGCUUGAAUACAUUAGCAUGGAAUAAUGAAAUAGGACGUUUGAUUCUAUUUUGUUGGUUUUUAGGAUCAACGUAAUGAUUAAUAGGGAUAGUUGGGGGCAUUAGUAUUCAAUUGUCAGAGGUGAGAUUCUUGGAUUUAUUGAAGACUAACUACUGCGAAAGCAUUUGCCAAGGAUGUUUUCAUUAAUCAAGAACGAAAGUUAGGGGAUCGAAGACGAUCAGAUACCGUCGUAGUCUUAACCAUAAACUAUGCCGACUAGGGAUCGGAUGAUGCUAAUUUUUUAAUGACUCA
rnacentral:rRNA from 1 species